UUUGCUCGAAAUUUAAUUUUGAACAUCUUCAUGGCCAAAUCAGAGCAAAAGGGCCGGUGGAUUAGCCAAAAACUGGGGGUAAAGCCUAGCAGCGCUGCCACAGAAAAUUACAUAAAACACGUCCGAUGAGAUCCUUUCCAAUUCCAGUUUCGCAUACAUGUGAUUAGACAGUUCAGAUUAGUUCCUGCGCGUACAAACGGUCUGAAUCCGUUCAUUUCUCAGACCCGAUUGGAUAGCCACGAUUAAAUGCAAUGAACGGUCCAUAUCCACUUUUUAUUCCAAUGCGAUUGGAGGACACAUAUCAAAUUUCGAUGAGCAGUCCAGAUUCACUCCCUAUUUAAUCGCUACUAGACGGUCCUGAUCAAAUGUGAUGGUCAGUUCUGAUUA
rnacentral:lncRNA from 1 species